rnacentral:tRNA from 1 species
CCCGACGUGGUGGAAUUGGUAGACACGCUAUCUUGAGGGGGUAGUGACCUAGGUCGUGCGAGUUCGAGUCUCGCCGUCGGCACCA